AACGCAUAUUGCGCUUCCUUUUGGGAGCAUGCCUGUUUGAGUGUCUGUAAUCCAAUCUCACUUGAAUUUACUUUUGUAAAUAAGAGUGGAAUUUUGAGUUUGUUUGUUUUUCUCUCACGAGAGAGACAAUCACUUGAAGUACAGGGCAAGUGUGGGAAGCAUGUAAACUUAUAAAGUACGUGAAUCUAACGGAGCAAUUCGUUUCUUUUCUAAACAUCGCUAACCCAAUGGUGGUUUAUCCACUGCUUGACGUUUGCUGAAGCCUAGAGAAGUUAUGUAUGUACAUGUGAAUACGCACCUUAAAAAUUACCAAUUUUUAAUUUCGGAUCUCAAAUCAAGCAAGAGGACCCGCCCAAUUUAA
rnacentral:misc_RNA from 1 species